AUUUCCUGGCUGAGAAGGUCCCGAGAUACCAGGCUGACUGGAAGCUCCCACACAGCCCAUUUCUGGGACCUGAGGGCGCAAGGCUCCACAGAGGAAUACCGGCGGGGAAUGCAGUGGAGACCCCCAGGAAGGUGUCUCCAAGCAGAAGGGAGAGAGAGGCCGUGUCUCAAAACUCCAGAGGCUUCUGAAGUCCUUCUGGAGAGUUAAGAAAAUCGGAGCUCAUGUGAAAGCAUUCUUGUCAUACAACUGCCUUCCAAUGGCAUGACCACGGAAGGAGAACAGCUCCUCACCAAAGCAGCCAUGAUGGAUUCUGACAUUUUCGACAUUGGUGUGCCCAGUGGAAGUUUCCUACAAGGGGUGACAGCUCUGGACAGGGCAUCAGGUGCCUGUGUGCUCACUGCAAGUCUGCCCCUGGUCGGCUAUAUGAUCUUGGUCAAGCUGCUCUGUCUCUCUGGGUCCAGCUAGACAAGAUGCUCACUGAGUCCCCUCCUGACUCAUUUGUGAUUUUAUAAGGGUUGCCUGGUACAUGCUUUCUGAAGGGGAGAGCAAGGGGAGGAGGAACCAAUGCAGAGACUCACCACGGACCUGAGUCUUGGCAGGGAGGAGAGAGCAGAGGGAGCCUGGGGCUGAGGAAGACUGGGGGCAGGGGUGCUAGAGAUGCCUCUCUUCUUUCACAAACCUCCUGUGCUGGCCUGCUCCCGGAGUGCUGUCCAGAAAGCCUCUUCAAGAAACCCAUUACAAGUGACCACAAAGAAUGCCCGUUCCAAGACAUGCAUUCUGAGGGAGGUGUGCACCAAAGCUUUAGUGGGCAGGAAGCUACCCCACCACCCAGCUCCAGCACUGCUGGGAGCUGAUUCCAGCCCAGCCACUCCUCAUGGCUUUUAUAUGGCCCUGCUGGGCCCUGGCGAUCUGGUUUGAAAAUCAUGGUUCUAUCUCAAUCCAAUCAAUGGAAAACUGAAUUUCAAGUGUUAUCUCCCCUCAAACAAAAAACAAAACAAAAAAACAACAAAAAAAACAGGGUGAAAAAGAGCACACAGUGGCUCUCAACACAGCUUUCACCUUCCUCCCUGGAUUCUGCCAUUCCUGGAUGUGCUUACACAGAGCUGGCUGCUCGGAUUUCCCCUAGUGAAUGCAACCAGUUACCGGACUGCGACAGGUGCAUGGACCCCAGCACCUUCUCUCAAACACCCACGCUUGGAGGAAAACGUGGCAGCUCUCUCCCCAGCUGGGGCUUGGCCUGGGGUGCCCACCCUCUUUCUCAUUAAGCAGCCCUUCAUCUGAGAGGUAAGAAACUCAAGUUCAUCCAGCGUGUGAACCUGCAAUGUGGGGUGUGCUAAGAUCCAGGCGGGCUAAUGAUCACUAACAAUGCUCCCUAUCCAACCCAGCAAGGCACACAAGGACAAAACCCCACCUACGGAUCCAGCUGCAUGCCUGAGUUUUGAGUACACAGCCAAAGAAAAAAGCAUGCUCAGGUUGUCCAGAAAAAAAAGGAAACCUGAAAAAAAAAAAAAAACCACAAUAGCGAGAAAGGGGGUCUAAGUUUCCUCGGAGGUCCUCAACUGUCUGUAGAAGUGCCCCACCCAGAACCCAAAAUAAAAUGAAGUAACCCCGCCCCUGGUCAGGGUCCUGUCUUUUUUAUUAUCCAGACACACGUAUCAGAGCCUGCUAACAUCCAGUUGUGGGAAGAGCAGCAAGCAGUACACCAGGAGCCACAGGAAGAGAAUAAAAUACAUCAUAUCCGGCUGCUGGACAAGCUGUGUCAGGGAGUCACUCUGCGGGCUGUGGCUCCCCAGUGACAUGGCUUCUCCUGAGCUGUUGGCCUUCCUACAGAAGAAACACAGAGGAAACGCAGUUACCAAGCAGGUUCCCAGGAAAGUGGACCCCACCCAGUGCUACCCGUCUCUCCCCGGCCCCCACUCCCCGCCUGAAGACCCGAAGGCUCCCCAGCACCAUGUCCAGGUAGGCCCCACACUGUGUGUACUGGCCCAAGGCAGUGCGUCGGGCCAUCCAGGCAGCCCCUCGAGCUUUUGCACGUACUCCGUUCAUCUCCAUAACAUCAGGUGAGAGGAGGUGGCAGCCCCAUUCUGCAGAUGGACACACUGAGGCUUUCGGGGUGGAGUGACUUGCCCAAGGCCAUGCAAUUAACUUGGCGACAGAGAGGGCGCCUAGGCCAGGUCUCCUGGGACACCUUUCUUGAUGCCACAGUGCUCUCAGAGAGUGACACGGAGUUAGAUACUGAUCGCUUGCUGCUGUUUGUUAGUAACGCAGGGGACCCCAUAGGUCAUCUAAGGGAUGAAGUGUCCCUAAUAGCAGAUCAUUUUAAAUCAUCUAUCAGAAAGAAACAAAGACCUCUCCCAUUCCCCACAGUUUUGUUUUGGCUUUGGAAUAUUACCUUUAAAAUAAUUACUAGAUUUGAUUUCAGUCAGAUUUACCUUCCUGCUUUUAUUUUAUAGGUGGUAGUGUUAAAAUGUCAUUUCAGUUUUGCCUGGCGGAUCAUAGGGAAGCCCAGAAGGUUUUGCCUGGGGCUGGGGCCUCUGCUUGGAGCUGCAUGUAGAGAAGCCUGCAGUGUAAG
rnacentral:lncRNA from 1 species